AGCGCCAUGCGCAGUGUCACUGACUGCUCAGUCAAACUCGGACGCAGCAAACGGCAGCAUGGUAAAAGAAUAACAAUCUUUAAAAAUCGAAACUAACGAAUUUUUGAAUUGAAAGGUUAUUUUCAAAGUUUUUAAAGAACUCUGGGCGUGUUUGAGUGCUUAGUAAAUUGGCCGGUCGGUGUGUAAAGUGGGUUUUUGUGAAGUUUCUGUAUUUCUGUGGAGUACCGUUCGGCUUAUUAUUGGGAACAUCACGAUCUGCAGCGACCGGCUCAGAUGAUCUAAACCGGCCAUGCGUAAUCUGAAGAGUUUCGUUUGCAGUAGUCUUCGGGGAUGACAAAGGAUCUCAGCCAAGGCUCAUGAUGUCGCAGUCGGCGCUGGGGCUCGGCGGCGAGCGGCGCUACUCCGUGCCCUCCAACCCGCUCGUCCACGACCCGCGCGGCAUGCACUCCGAGGAUCUUCACGCGUGGUCCAUCUACAGGUGACCUUCACAUCUAUAUG